CUCUCUGCUGCUCCUUCACCCAUAAAGUAACAGGAGCCUGAUCUUAUGCUGGAAAAACCAGAGUGAAAAUAAGGCCUCAGUGUGAUACUGCUUAAGUAUCUGGGUUGUAUAUUUACAGUUCACUAGUAAAAAGUGUGCAUCUAUACUUCCGCUAUGGAUUCCUGGGAAAUGCAUAUUAUCUCCUUAGCACCCAGAAGAAGAUUGAGGUGUGCUUUCCAAAGACAUAAAACCCGCCUACACCUGAUGUUAGUUACGAAAGAACUCAGGUGAGGAAAAAAACAUACUUUGUGUCCAAGGAAGCUUGAACAAAGAGUGCAACUUCCAGGGUGGUGGGCCACCUGAUUCCUCCUUAAGAGGACACCUAAAGGAAGGAAGGAACUUCUUCAUUCUGGUCAGGAACAGGUGGGUGGGUGUUGCAGAACUCAAACUGCAAAUCUUUUCCAUUUUUGUCGAAAUGUGAAAUGUAUGUGUAACAGUGCCGCAGCUGCGACGCGGUUACUAAAAGGAGGGAGCAGCUGCCGGAAACGAAGACAGCCAGGAAAUUGAUGAAUAAACUCAGGCAGAUAAUACGAAGCCAGGAAAGUGCAAUAAAAAGGGAAGGAAACUUCCCAAGGGCGCCUUCAGGCACGCACUCGUUGAGAGGAACGAGAAGGGACCCCUACGGCGACGGAGACUGAGAGAGCCCAGGAGAUAGGGAUGCACGUCCAGACGACGAGGGGAAUUUUGGGGAGCGAGGCACCCUUCCCCAGAUUGCGUCCUGCCGUGAAAAGACAGCCUCUGCGCUACUGUAACCCGGAUCCUGCACCAGAGUGUGGAGGGAGGCAGAGAAGAAAGAAAGUAAAGAAAGAGAAAAGUAAAACAACGAAGCCGUGCUUCACAAGCCGCAGCCAGUGAAUCCCGGUGUCGGCGUUAAUCAGCUGCUAACAAGGCAAUUAGCGGCUGAUCGUUGUGUAAGAGGCCAACAAGUAGUCUUGCUUUGAUCUCUGACAGCCGGCGGUGAGAACCCCGCGGCGAUCACACAGGAGGAGUGUCGUCCCCAGAGAAAGAGCCAGGCAAACGUUAAAUAAAGCACUAGCAGUGAA